rnacentral:rRNA from 1 species
AGAGUUUGAUCCUGGCUCAGGAUGAACGCCGGCGGCGUGCCUAACACAUGCAAGUCGAGCGGGAAGAAGAAGAUGAAGUUUUCGGAUGAAUUCUUUUUCGGACAGCGGCGGACGGGUGAGUAACGCGUAGGCAACCUGCCCUUUGCACAGGGAUAGCCUCGGGAAACCGGGAUUAAAACCUGAUAACACGGAUGAAGCACAUGCUUCAUUCGUCAAAGAUUUAUCGGCAAAGGAUGGGCCUGCGUCUGAUUAGCUGGGUUGGUAGGGUAACGGCCUACCAAGGCGACGAUCAGUAGCCGACCUGAGAGGGUAAACGGCCACAUUGGAACUGAGACACGGUCCAAACUCCUACGGGAGGCAGCAGUGGGGAAUAUUGCACAAUGGGCGAAAGCCUGAUGCAGCAACGCCGCGUGAGCGAAGAAGGCCUUUGGGUCGUAAAGCUCUGUCGACAGGGAAGAAACAAAUGACGGUACCUGUUGAGAAAGCCCCGGCUAACUACGUGCCAGCAGCCGCGGUAAUACGUAGGGGGCGAGCGUUAUCCGGAAUUAUUGGGCGUAAAGAGUGCGUAGGUGGCUUAAUAAGCGGGAGGUGAAAGGCUGAGGCUCAACCACAGUGAGCCUUCCGAACUGUUAAGCUUGAGUGCGGGAGAGGAAAGCGGAAUUCCUGGUGUAGCGGUGAAAUGCGCAGAUAUCAGGAGGAACACCGGUGGCGAAGGCGGCUUUCUGGACCGUAACUGACACUGAGGCACGAAAGCGUGGGGAGCAAACAGGAUUAGAUACCCUGGUAGUCCACGCCGUAAACGAUGAGCACCAGGUGUCGGGAUCGCAAGAUUUCGGUGCCGUAAGUGCUCCGCCUGGGGAGUACGCACGCAAGUGUGAAACUCAAAGGAAUUGACGGGGACCCGCACAAGCAGCGGAGCAUGUGGUUUAAUUCGAAGCAACGCGAAGAACCUUACCAGGGCUUGACAUCCCUCUGACAGGCGUGUAACGGCGCCCUCCCUUCGGGGCAGAGGAGACAGGUGGUGCAUGGUUGUCGUCAGCUCGUGUCGUGAGAUGUUGGGUUAAGUCCCGCAACGAGCGCAACCCUUGUCAUUAGUUGCCAGCAUUUAAGGUGGGCACUCUAGUGAGACUGCCGGGGAUAACUCGGAGGAAGGUGGGGAUGACGUCAAAUCAUCAUGCCCCUUAUGUUCUGGGCUACACACGUGCUACAAUGGCCGGUACAAAGAGAAGCAAGACUGCGAAGUGGAGCAAAUCUGUUAAAACCGGUCUCAGUUCGGAUUGCAGGCUGAAACCCGCCUGCAUGAAGUUGGAGUUGCUAGUAAUCGUGAAUCAGCAUGUCACGGUGAAUGCGUUCCCGGGUCUUGUACACACCGCCCGUCACACCAUGGAAGUUGGGGGCGCCCGAAGCCGGCUGAGUAAUAAGUCGUCUAAGGUGAAACCAAUGACUGGGGUGAAGUCGUAACAAGGUAGCCGUAUCGGAAGGUGCGGCUGGAUCA